rnacentral:rRNA from 1 species
UCUUGGUCAUUUAGAGGAAGUAAAAGUCGUAACAAGGUUUCCGUAGGUGAACCUGCGGAAGGAUCAUUAUCGUAAUCAAAAUGUGUUGAGGCAUGCAACGGCUGUCGCUGACCAAAAGUCGUGCACGCCAGGGUGUGUCCUCUCACAUAAAAUCCAUCUCACCCUUUUGUGCACCACCGCGUGGGCACCCUUCGGGGUCGAACAGAUCCAGGAGGGGGCUUGCGUUUUCACACAAACCCCUUUUUAAAAGUGUAGAAUGACCCCACUUUUGCGAUAACACGCAAUCAAUACAACUUUCAACAACGGAUCUCUUGGCUCUCGCAUCGAUGAAGAACGCAGCGAAAUGCGAUACGUAAUGUGAAUUGCAGAAUUCAGUGAAUCAUCGAAUCUUUGAACGCACCUUGCGCCCCUUGGUAUUCCGAGGGGCACACCCGUUUGAGUGUCGUGAAAAUCUCAACCUUCUCGGUUUCUUCUGAACACCGAAGGAGGCUUGGACUUUGGAGGCCUUUGCUGGUGUCUCUCACCAGCUCCUCUCAAAUGAAUUAGCGGGGUCCUCUUUGCCGAUCCUCGACAUGUGAUAAGAUGUUUCCAUGUCUUGGCUUUAUGGCUCUGUUGCCUUUGGGACCCGCUUCUAACCGUCUCGGCGAGACAACGUUCGAGCGUGUCUCCCCUCUCGGGGAAACACUCUUGAACCCACGAAACCUUGACCUCAAAUCGGGUGAGACUACCCGCUGAACUUAAGCAUAUCAAUAAGCGGAGGAAAAGAAACUAACAAGGAUUCCCCUAGUAACUGCGAGUGAAGCGGGAAAAGCUCAAAUUUAAAAUCUGGCGGCCUUUGGCCGCCCGAGUUGUAAUUUAGAGAAGCGUCUUCCGCGCCAGUCCGUGCACAAGUCUCCUGGAAUGGAGCGUCAUAGAGGNNGAGAAAUCCANU